UGUGUUAAAUCUAUUUGACGUGACUUUAUGACAUUUAUGUCAAUUUAAACUUGAUUAUCAAAUAAGAUCGAUUGUCUAAACGAAUAUGCCGAAGACUUCAGCUGCAAUUCGGUGAAGGAUCUGCUUUAUAAUAUCGUGUUUAAGCAUAACUCAAAUUCAUUCACGAAAAAAUGUUACUAAGGUCCUUUUGACAAAAUAAGCGAGCAUUCCUCGUUGGUGUCUCUGCUGCAGCCAGUGAAGAAGGAUAUAAAUAUUUAGCGCGAGCAGGAUAAAUUUGGCGCUGGAGCACACAGUGGAAUGACUUUAAGCUGCUCGUCAACUGGUUACUAAACAACAGGUUCACCACCAUUCAAAAUUCAACUGCACAAGUGAUUCUGAUCCAUUUGUUGACCUAAACAACAAGUAAUUCCACUCACGACAUACACAUCAGUAGCAUGUCUCGAUACAAAAGUCUAAAAAACACGUACCAGACGUCUCGGAAGCCUACAAGGUAUUAUUGAAAGUCUCAAUUUGAGACCAAUACUGCACAGGAGAAAUGGUGUUGUUAAAUGAUCAGACUACUGCGGCGUUACUGCAUGGACCAGAGUGUUGAGAUCAACAACGGAAUGAUGAAAAACCUUGCACUGGUUCUGCGCCACAUACUCGAAUUGUAACGCGCCUAACAGAUCUAAUACGACGUGACCGUAAAUCGUCCAAUAGAUAUCGACUUGGCAAUUCUUAUCAACACAUGGAUUCAGUGCCGAAAACCUACCACAAAAGGUUAGAACAAAUUCGAUUACUAUUUGAUGACCACCGGUAAAUGGUGGUUGUUCGAAGUCUACAGCUUAUUACGCUACUGUUCCUCAAGUGCUCCGAAAGUUCGAAUGAAGCGAAAACGCAAACUAGAACCAUUACUUCUGACAGACGUUCCAAUCGAUGUCCACGAUGAAGAGGAUUUAGACCUCGGUGAACGGUCGAUAUCUAUUUUCUCAGUACGUCGAUUUUCAAUUUUCCCUGAAUCAGAAUGACCAAUGCACGAACUAUUCGCUAUUGCAGCGCUACGCCAAGUCUCAAGCCGAUUUGAACGCCCUGUGUCGGAAGUACAAAGUGCUGGUCACCGAACAGUAGAUAAUGCGGGACAAAACUUUGAUCGCGACGAAUGCAUUAAGUGACGGGAAGAAAAAAUAGCCGGGAAGCGCUGCAGUUCUUCAGCAAUCCACUGAGUUCAGCUGCAAUCUGAAGGAUUCGAUGAAGCAGUUGUGCUCCCAAUGUGACCCAUCCUCGAACCCAUCCACGUACGAAGUAAUCGC